CCCCGAGCCGGAGACCACGCCGCACCGCGAGCAACCACGGCCGAGCCUGAGUCGAGCUCGUGUGCCAGGUCCACCCCGUGCACGCCCGAGACCCCGUACGCGAGCCCAGCUCCGCGAUGAACCCCGCAUCCCCUUCCCCGAUCUCUCUCGUUGCCGCACGCGCGAGAUAGGGCGGAACGCAUCUCGCUGUGGAGCUCGAGCCGCCGCCAUCUUCGCCAGCCGUUUCCGCCGCCAAUCGCAGUGGAGCGAGCCACCCGAGCGAACCCGACUUCGCCGGAGCACGCAUGAGUUCAGGAACUUGCCACCACCGCUCGAGGGAGCCCGUCGCCGUUGAACACAGCCACUACCUCCGCCGCUCGACGCCACACCCAUCCGUCACUUCGCUCUCGCCGGAGAACCGCCGCGCCGCCGCCCGAGACCACCACCGCCAUUCCUCUGUUAUGAUUUUCCGGAGUACGACGCGAGCUAUUGUCAGGAGUGUGACUUUAUGAACCAGAACCAAGG